AUUAUUAUUAUCUGAGACCGUAGUAACGAGAUUUAUUUAUUUAAACUAAAGUUUUCAAAAUCAAUUAUUUACACUUACUAGACGCACGACAAAAGAAAGACCGGACAAACUUAAGGAGAAACGCUGGUUAUAGGGAAUGUCCAUUCCGCGGAACUGGAGAGGCGCCUAAUUGGAGUGGCGCCUAUAACGAGAUAUACACUGCAUCACCAAAGGGCAACGAGAGGACUAUCGGUAGGCUGUCGGACCGGGAUGUCGGGGGACGUGGCUGGCCAUUGCGGUAACCCGGCCACGUUCUCGUUGGGCUGCGACGACGGCUUGGGACGGUGCACUACGACAUAUGCGGCCGAAAGCGAAUCAGACCGCGGAGCAGGAGGAUGGCUCGACGGCGGAGAUAAAUAUAAGAUAUGGCAUGCAGCGGCGGCACUUGCAGCAGCCGCAGACACCGAAAAAGGAUCGGCGGACGAGUUUGGAGAUCAGCCGCCGCCAAAGGACCACCGAAAGCAUAUUAUGUAACGGGAAUGCUGCCCGCGUCCGGCAAACCGGCCCGCCCGCGACGGCGGGGUUCGUUCUGCAGAGGCAUUAUGGGAAAGCGGUCGGGCGAACCGGACGAGAAAGGCAGGCUGUGCAGAUCGAGGUGCUUAUAGUUGGUGUCGGAAUAACCGGAGAUGGUCGAAGGAGGAACUGACAGGAAGUGACGAUGAAACUUAGGGGGGGUAAGGAGCGACGUGGCAGUUUCACGAUGUUACCUACAUACAUUACGAUUCGACCGUAUGAUAAAUUACUUACAUUACAACCAGGCCGGCCAAAAGCCGACUGCGACAGAUCAACCUAACCCUAAUACCAUACGAUUAACCGGCGAGUUUCCACUAACUAAUAUGCUCGCCGGAACCAGGCCGGCCACGACCGAUCAACCUAACCCGCAUCCAAAUAUAUUAAACUGUGCCAAACAACUACAACACAACAUACCUACAAUACGAUAAUUGACCGGCGAGUUUCCACUAACUAUGAUAUGCUCGCCGGAACCAGGCCGGCCAGAAGCCGGCCACGACCGAUCAACCUAACCCACUACCAAACAUAACUACAACAUAACAUACCAUACGAUAAUUGACCGGCGAGUUUCCACUAACUAUGAUAUGCUCGCCGGAACUCUUGAAGCUGUAGUGUCGCGCUUCUCCAAACUGCCAUCAACAUCACGCUCCUUACCCUCCGAUCUGCAGUUUCAUCGUCACUUCCAAAGAUUUCUCCUGUCACCAUCUCCGGGUCCGGCGAGCACCUCGAUCAGCAGCCUGCAAUAGCUUUUUAUAUAGUCCAAACCGCCCGGCUGAGCGUCUCCCCGCUGCAGAACGAACACGAGCUGGUUAGACGGACGCGGGCAGCGUUUCCGCGGUCGUGGUCUUUUGGCAAAGGCUGAUUUCCAGACUCGUCCACUUGCUGCUUCCUUAUCCUGCGGCUGCUGUCGCCGCUGCAUGCCAUAGUCUUCGCCGUUGAGCUCCCGCACAUCCUCUUGCUCCGCCCAGAGCACUGAUCAUCCGCAGUCGGCCGGAAGUUGUUGUAGUGCACUGCGCCGUCGUCGUGGCCCAACGAGAACCCCCCCACAGAUCCAGUGACCCAUCGACGGCGUCCUGGUCCGACAGCCCGUAACCUCAAAAUAUCCUCUCGUCGUCUUUGAUGUGCAGUGUGUCUGUAUAAGCCGGCAAUGGACAUUCCAGAAAAAUACAUUAAAGCUAAAAAAAAAAAUUGUCAUUGUUUUAUAUUAAUAAAGAAAAAUUUACCGAUUGAUAUUCAUUAUAUUUUUGUAUUAUUAUACAGAUUUGUUGAAAGGGUAAACCG
rnacentral:lncRNA from 1 species